GUCACCUUUUUCUUUACUUUUUUCGUUUUAAACACACACCUAUACGUACAUACCGACAAACAAAUGUUCUCUUCUAUCUCACUUUCUCUCUCUUAAUUCACUCUCUCUUUCUUUUCUCUUUACUGCCACCCACUCCCCCCAAUUCACUCACCUACCACACAAUUAUUUAAAAAAUAACACAAUACACACCCACGCCAUAAUAUUUCCCUUUCAUUUUUCUAUAACAACAAAACAAACAACAACCAGUAACCGCAUCACUCCUUCUCCGUUUUUAUUUUCAUUUUUCAUAAACAACAACUACUCCCUCUAUUAAUCUCCCUUCUCGCCUCCACCCUUCUAGCAAAACACCACCAAUUUUUUUCCUUUUCCGCCACCCUUUUUUCAGCCACCACUAAAACGACACCCCUCUCUCUUCACUUUUUUUGAUCUUGCAGAUCUGUUAGGCUUUGAUAUCCGUGGCUUCGAUCACUGAUUUUAUUUAGUAGUAUACGUUAAAUUUGAUUGCUUGAUUUUUGGUUUCACAGAUCUUGUCGGAGUAGGUACUCGGGAAUGAUAUUUAAAGGAGCUUAAUUUUCUUAUAUCUGUAUUUUUUUUAUUAUUAUUAUUGUAAAAAUAUUAAUUAUAGUGAAUUUUUGGAUGGUUGGCGGGGAUGUUCUUUAUUUAUACAAUAUUAUGUAAUUUUCCUUUAAAAAUAAUUUCUUCUUUAUUCAUUCUUUACCUUCUUUUUUUAUAUAUCUUUCUUUUUUUA